rnacentral:lncRNA from 1 species
UCAACAAAGAUAAAGAUAAUAAUUCUCCUCCUCCAGCGAGACUAAACUCAUAAACCCACCACACCGCACGCCCUCUCUCGUCAUUUUUCUGGCAGCUCAAGGAAUCUAAACACAACCAUGUCUAGCUGCAGCAUGGCAUCAGCUGCUUCAGGUUUCGUAAUGGCACCAAAAGUUGCCUCUGUAAAAACCACCAGCAGUAACUCCCUGUUUUUCCCAGCGGCCAAGAGCAGCAACAACUCCAGGCUGGUGGCUGUGAGGGCCGCUGCCGAUGAGGGAGCAGCGGCGCCACCUGCCGCUACAACAGAAGCUCCCGCGGCUGACGGUGAGGCAGCACCGGCAGCUGCUCCUAAGAAAGUCAAGCCUCCCCA